CUUCUGCAUCAGCCUCCUGAGUGGCUGGGAUUACAGGUGUGCGCCACCACCAGGUCUGGCUUUUUUUUUAAGAGAUGGGGUGGAUCUCGCUAUGACGCCCAGACUGGUCUUGAAUUCCUGGCCUCAAGGGAUCCUCCUGCUUUGUCCUCCCAAAGUAUGGGAUUACAGGUGUGAGUCACAGUACCCAGCCUUUUUCUAACAAUUUCUUUCAGGGUGAUAUGUUAACAGGAUAUAGGAAAAAGGCUUCACUGUGCAAGACCUCUAAAUACCAAAACAGAGUCGAAACUGUGAAAUCUAUUUCAAUGCAUGAGAGCUCCUGUCGCUCCACAUCCUCAGCAGCACGUGGUGUUCGGUGUUCUGGAUUUUAGACAUUCUAAUAGCCCAGCUUCCCUGCUGAGGGAAGUGAGGAUAGCGUGCAAGAAGCCCCUGUCCCUGGAGAAAAGGAGAGCGGCUGGUCAAGGACACAGAUGAGGCCAUGCUUUCUGGUGCGAAGAUCCAAAGAAUAUCACGCCGUGAUUCUUCUGCUUCUCUGCAUGAAUCCCAAUCAACCAACCAAUCUCUCUCCUCCUCUCACUCACAGUAUCUUCCUACCAUUACACAGCUGGACCUGGGAUAGUCGGCUGGCCGCAAAGGCCUGGGGUGAGUGACUGAUUGAAGAAUUUGCGUAAUUCUUCAAGAAGGUUGUGAGUCAAGGUAGGAUUCAAAUACUCCAGGGUCUAUAGGUUAACACAUCCUUUGACAGCUCUGUAACUUCACCACAAAUCUAAAACUAUUUAUUUACCAGAGUACUACAUAUAGAUAGUAGAGUAUUAAAUGGGACAGUAUGAGCAACUUGAAUGCUGGCUCGUCAGCCAUAAGGUGCUACUUUUACAGUCGACCCUCCAUGGAUUCAAACAACUGCAGGUUGAAAAUAUUUGAGAAAAAAAAUGUAUUGUUGUCUGUACUGAACAUGUACAGGCUUUUUUUUCUUGUCAUUUUCCUCAAAGCAAUGCAGUAUAACAAUGAUUUACACAGCAUUUACAUUGUACUACGCAUUAUAAGUAACCUAGAGAUGAUUUAAAGUGCAGGGAGGAUAUGUCUAAGUUAUAUGUAAAUACGACACUGGGGAAUUGAGCUUCUGUGGAUUUUUGUACCUGAAAGGGUCCUAGAACCAAUCACCCACAGAUACCAAGAAACAAAUGUACAAUUCAAAAAAAGAAAAAAA
ensembl:lncRNA novel transcript, antisense to PCCA